GUGAUCACUGUCCAAUUAUGCAUAACCCUAUCCAGGAAGACAAUGACUCAGACCUGGUGGAUAAUCAGUGUGAUG